CAGUCGCCACGGGAAUACGAAGGGGGCUAGCGUUGUUCGGACUUACUGGGCGUAAAGCGCACGUAGGCGGAUCGAUCAGUCAGGGGUGAAAUCCUGGAGCUCAACUCCAGAACUGCCUUUGAUACUGUCGAUCUGGAGUAUGGAAGAGGUGAGUGGAAUUCCGAGUGUAGAGGUGAAAUUCGUAGAUAUUCGGAGGAACACCAGUGGCGAAGGCGGCUCACUGGUCCAUUACUGACGCUGAGGUGCGAAAGCGUGGGGAGCAAACAGGAUUAGAUACCCCUGUAGUCCCUGUCUCUUAUAC
rnacentral:rRNA from 1 species